AUUGAACGCUGGCGGCAGGCCUAACACAUGCAAGUCGAGCGAGCGGCGGACGGGUGAGUAAUGUCUGGGGAUCUGCCCGAUGGAGGGGGAUAACUACUGGAAACGGUGGCUAAUACCGCAUACCAUCGGAUGAACCCAGAUGGGAUUAGCUAGUAGGUGGGGUAAAGGCUCACCUAGGCGACGAUCCCUAGCUGGUCUGAGAGGAUGACCAGCCACACUGGGACUGAGACACGGCCCAGACUCCUACGGGAGGCAGCAGGGGGGAAUAUUGCACAAUGGGCGCAAGCCUGAUGCAGCCAUGCCGCGUGUAUGAAGAAGGCCUUCGGGUUGUAAAGGACUUUCAGCGGGGAGGCGUUACUCGCAGAAGAAGCACCGGCUAACUCCGUGCCAGCCGCCGCGGUAAUAC
rnacentral:rRNA from 1 species